UUCAUACUCCUUCCGUUCGGAAUUACUUGUCUCGGAAAUGGAUGUAUCUAGAACUAAAAUACAUCUAGAUACAUCCAUUUUCGUGACAAGUAAUUCCGAACGGAGGGAGUACAUA
rnacentral:pre_miRNA from 1 species